rnacentral:rRNA from 1 species
AUUGAACGCUAGCGGGAUGCUUUACACAUGCAAGUCGAGCGAGCGGCGGACGGGUGAGUAAUGUAUGGGGACUGCUCGUGAGGGGGGGCUAACUACUGGAAACGGUAGUUAAUACCGCAUACUAUUGAAUAACCCAUAUGGGAUUAGCUAGUAGGUGAGGUAAUGGCUCACCUAGGCGACGAUCCCUAGCUGGUCUGAGAGGAUGAUCAGCCACACUGGAACUGAGACACGGCCCAGACUCCUACGGAGGCAGCAGUGGGGAAUAUUGCACAAUGGGCGCAAGCCUGAUGCAGCCAUGCCGCGUGUAUGAAGAAGGCCUUAGGGUUGUAAAGUACUUUCAGUCGGGAGGCGUUACCGACAGAAGAAGCACCGGCUAACUCCGUGCCAGCAGCCGCGGUAAUAC